GACGAGGAGCUUGCUCCUCUGACGUUAGCGGCGGACGGGUGAGUAACACGUGGAUAACCUACCUAUAAGACUGGGAUAACUUCGGGAAACCGGAGCUAAUACCGGAUAAUAUAUUGAACCGCAUGGUUCAAUAGUGAAAGACGGUUUUGCUGUCACUUAUAGAUGGAUCCGCGCCGCAUUAGCUAGUUGGUAAGGUAACGGCUUACCAAGGCAACGAUGCGUAGCCGACCUGAGAGGGUGAUCGGCCACACUGGAACUGAGACACGGUCCAGACUCCUACGGGAGGCAGCAGUAGGGAAUCUUCCGCAAUGGGCGAAAGCCUGACGGAGCAACGCCGCGUGAGUGAUGAAGGUCUUCGGAUCGUAAAACUCUGUUAUUAGGGAAGAACAAAUGUGUAAGUAACUAUGCACGUCUUGACGGUACCUAAUCAGAAAGCCACGGCUAACUACGUGCCAGCAGCCGCGGUAAUACGUAGGUGGCAAGCGUUAUCCGGAAUUAUUGGGCGUAAAGCGCGCGUAGGCGGUUUUUUAAGUCUGAUGUGAAAGCCCACGGCUCAACCGUGGAGGGUCAUUGGAAACUGGAAAACUUGAGUGCAGAAGAGGAAAGUGGAAUUCCAUGUGUAGCGGUGAAAUGCGCAGAGAUAUGGAGGAACACCAGUGGCGAAGGCGACUUUCUGGUCUGUAACUGACGCUGAUGUGCGAAAGCGUGGGGAUCAAACAGGAUUAGAUACCCUGGUAGUCCACGCCGUAAACGAUGAGUGCUAAGUGUUAGGGGGUUUCCGCCCCUUAGUGCUGCAGCUAACGCAUUAAGCACUCCGCCUGGGGAGUACGACCGCAAGGUUGAAACUCAAAGGAAUUGACGGGGACCCGCACAAGCGGUGGAGCAUGUGGUUUAAUUCGAAGCAACGCGAAGAACCUUACCAAAUCUUGACAUCCUCUGACCCCUCUAGAGAUAGAGUUUUCCCCUUCGGGGGACAGAGUGACAGGUGGUGCAUGGUUGUCGUCAGCUCGUGUCGUGAGAUGUUGGGUUAAGUCCCGCAACGAGCGCAACCCUUAAGCUUAGUUGCCAUCAUUAAGUUGGGCACUCUAAGUUGACUGCCGGUGACAAACCGGAANGAAGUGGGGGAUGACGUCAAAUCAUCAUGCCCCUUAUGAUUUGGGCUACACACUUGCUACAAGGGACAAUACAAAGG
rnacentral:rRNA from 1 species